CUUGGCCAUUCAGCUAUAGUUACAGCAUCAGCCCACCUGGGACUGAAGCUCGAGGCAGGGGAGCAGAAUGACUGAUGUGACUCAAAAGGAAAACAAUGAGGCUGGGAAGUCCAACAUGAAGAGGGCCCCACCUGAUAGGAGACACCUGCUGCGCCACCCUAAGGUAGAGGGCAAAAGGACCUGGGGACAAGACCUCUGCCCCAGGGCCUGGGCUGAUGUCCUUGGCAGGCCUCUGAAGGAGCUUCCUCUUCCCUCAAGGACAGGAUUACCCAACUGGCCAGCGGGAUGAAAGGACUUUUGUCUGAGAUGUGUACUGUAAAAUCCAGCUCCUGUGUGAAGAUUUUCAUGACUCAAGAGCUUUCACAUGAAUACCUUUGCAUUUGGAAAUGAAAGGUGGAAAGUUCUCACCCUA